GGCGAGAGUCACGGCAGCGAUACCCAGUCCUCUGGGCCUGGGCGCUGGCACAAGCUCGCCAGGCAGCAGCAAAAGCCUCCAGUACCUUUGCAAGGUGAAUUUAAAGAGCUCUGAGGAUCUGCACUUACGCAGGCUGACAGGAUGAAGUUCCUCGCCGAGCCAGGAGCAGAGGAUUUGGCAGCAGAGCCCGUUUCCAGCUCCUGCCCACUCCCACCCCUCCGGGACAGCCUGCCGAAGCCGCUUCUAGGGAUAAGGGGGGAAAGCAGCAUCUAAUUCAGUCCCUGCUUUUCUUCUGCCAAGACUCCCAGGCGGAUCAUAAGGCAGCCCCAGCGUGGUUGUUCGUGCUGCGGUGUGGCACACGCGGCGCAGCUCCAGCGGGGGAUGCCGCUGUCCCCAGACAGCCUCAGCCUCGGGGACUGGUUUUGGCCACCGGUGCUUGUGAGACCUGGGCCCGCAUCAGCAACGGGCCCGCACCCCCCGGCUCCCCCCGGCCCCAGCCCCCUGCUGCGUGUCUGACUGAACAGUGCCUGGAAGAACAAUCUCGCUGCCAUCUGCGCUGUGCAUCCUGCGUGAUUCCAGAAGCAUCAACGGCGUUGCUGAUCCGAGAGGAACGGCAGUUUUCGGAUAACUUUCACCCAAAAGCUAUCUCCCUCACCCCACGAUCGCUUUCAGAUUUGUGGUUCUUGGGGGGUGUCGCUCUGAAGCAGGUAAGGAAGCAAAGAAACAAAGCACAGCGCUGCGAGGCCAUGUUAAACGAAGCUGAAAUGGAAGGAAACGCAGGUCUGAUGAGGUGCCGUUCCGGCUCUUCGGGGUACGUCCCACCUUGGCAAAGGAAGAGGGGUCCAAGCCCUCGGGGCCCCCAGUCACCGAGGAGCUCUCGGGGCGACGGCUCCGACUUGCUCUGAGCACGGGCAGGCCGGGGCGUUCGGCCGCUGACCGAGGAGCGCAGCGGGGCCCCGGAGCGGUGGCCACGCUCCUCCCGCGAGAACUUUGUCAAGAGUCUCUUUGUCCAGACCGUCCUCAGCACCAAUCUCCUGCUAAUACCAUUUCAGUCUUGGGUUUGCUGUUACGUUGGGCCUGAUGUGAGCAGUCUGUGAACUUAACGCGGUGGAAAAACAAAUGGUGGGGAAAGCCCGGAGGCGUGGAGGAGCAUCGAU
rnacentral:lncRNA from 1 species